GACAGAGGGUGCAAACGUUGUUCGGAAUUACUGGGCGUAAAGCGCGUGUAGGCGGCUCUGAAAGUCGGAUGUGAAAGCCCUGGGCUUAACCUAGGAAGUGCAUUCGAAACUUCAGAGUUUGAGUUCUGGAGAGGAAGGCGGAAUUCUCGGUGUAGAGGUGAAAUUCGUAGAUAUCGAGAGGAACACCGGUGGCGAAGGCGGCCUUCUGGACAGUGACUGACGCUGAGACGCGAAAGCGUGGGGAGCAAACAGG
rnacentral:rRNA from 1 species